AACGAACGCUGGCGGCAUGCCUAACACAUGCAAGUCGAACGAGACCUUCGGGUCUAGUGGCGCACGGGUGCGUAACGCGUGGGAACCUGCCCUUAGGUUCGGAAUAACUCCCCGAAAGGGGUGCUAAUACCGGAUAAUGUCUUCGGACCAAAGAUUUAUCGCCUUUGGAUGGGCCCGCGUUGGAUUAGCUAGUUGGUAGGGUAAAAGCCUACCAAGGCGACGAUCCAUAGCUGGUCUGAGAGGAUGAUCAGCCACACUGGGACUGAGACACGGCCCAGACUCCUACGGGAGGCAGCAGUGGGGAAUAUUGGACAAUGGGCGAAAGCCUGAUCCAGCAAUGCCGCGUGAGUGAUGAAGGCCUUAGGGUUGUAAAGCUCUUUUACCCGGGAUGAUAAUGACAAUACCGGGAGAAUAAGCGCCGGCUAACUCCGUG
rnacentral:rRNA from 1 species